AGAGUUUGAUCAUGGCUCAGAUUGAACGCUGGCGGCAUGCUUUACACAUGCAAGUCGAACGGCAGCGCGGGGGCAACCCUGGCGGCGAGUGGCGAACGGGUGAGUAAUGUAUCGGAACGUAUCCUGUAAUGGGGGAUAACCAGUCGAAAGAUUGGGUAAUACCGCAUACGCACGAGAGUGGAAAGUAGGGGAUCGCAAGACCUUACGUUAUAGGAGCGGCCGAUAUCUGAUUAGCUAGUUGGUGGGGUAAAGGCCUACCAAGGCGACGAUCAGUAGCUGGUCUGAGAGGAUGAUCAGCCACACUGGGACUGAGACACGGCCCAGACUCCUACGGGAGGCAGCAGUGGGGAAUUUUGGACAAUGGGCGAAAGCCUGAUCCAGCCAUGCCGCGUGCGGGAAGAAGGCCUUCGGGUUGUAAACCGCUUUAGUCUAGGAAAAAGGGGUGCGAGGUUAAUACCCUCGUGCUUUGAUGGUACUGGAAGAAUAAGCACCGGCUAACUACGUG
rnacentral:rRNA from 1 species